AUUGAACGCUGGCGGCAGGCCUAACACAUGCAAGUCGAGCGGAUGAACGGUACUUGCUCCUCUUUUCAGUUGCCGACUGGCGGGUAAUUCCCACGUAUCUCCCUUUCUUUUUUGUCUUGGGUCCCUACACGGGCCCUUAUACCCUACUCGUUCUUAUGUUGAACGUGUGGGAUCUUCGGACCUCACGCUUUUACCUGACCCUAGGUCGUAUUAGCUAGUUGGUUUGGUAAAGGCCUACCAAGGCGACGAUCCGUAACUGGUCUGAGAGGAUGAUCAGUCACACUGGAACUGAGACACGGUCCAGACUCCUACGGGAGGCAGCAGUGGGGAAUAUUGGACAAAGGGCGAAAGCCUGAUCCAGCCAUGCCGCGUGAGUGAAGAAGGUCUUCGGAUUGUAAAGCACUUUAAGUAGGGAAGAAAAGAAGUAAGAUAAUACCUGGCUGUUUUGACGUUACCAAAAGAAAAAGCACCGGCUAACUUCGUG
rnacentral:rRNA from 1 species